rfam:Rhodobacteraceae bacterium HLTCCO18 ITZY_scaf_116, whole genome shotgun sequence.
AUGACCGACAGCAAGCUGCCGGACAUGCAGGCCGGUUGGGAACAGGGCAUCAUCAACGUCCUCAGCGGCCUGUCCGGCCUCAACAUGGUCUAUGAAUCCG